rnacentral:misc_RNA from 1 species
GACAAGCUUGAUACAGUUUUUUGUUGUCCCUUCUGCAACCAUGGGAGCAGUGUUGAGUGUCGCAUUGAUAUGAAGAAUCUGAUUGGAGAGGCCCAAUGCAGGAUUUGCCAAGAAAGUUUCAGCACUACAGUCACAGGGCUGACGGAGGCUAUAGACAUAUAUAGCGAAUGGAUAGACGAGUGUGAGAAGGUCAAUACAGUCGAGGAUGAAUACUAGUUUGGCAGCCUUGUUGGCUGGGUAGUCACAUGAUGCAUGUUGACCAUCUUUGUCGCUUGGUUGGAGUGACUUAUAUAAACCUUGUGUUGUUUUAAAGUUUGCGUGUAGCGAGGCAACUUAAAAUAUUUAUAGUUUCUGUGUGAAGCUUUUGUUAGUCUGAGAAAUUGUGCA